rnacentral:rRNA from 1 species
CCUACGGGAGGCAGCAGUGGGGAAUAUUGGGCAAUGGAGGAAACUCUGACCCAGCGACGCCGCGUGCGGGAUGAAGGCCUUCGGGUUGUAAACCGCUUUCAGCAGGGAAGAAGCGAAAGUGACGGUACCUGCAGAAGAAGCACCGGCUAACUAUGUGCCAGCAGCCGCGGUAAUACAUAGGGUGCAAGCGUUGUCCGGAAUUAUUGGGCGUAAAGAGCUCGUAGGUGGUUCGUCACGUCGGAUGUGAAAAUCUGGGGCUUAACCCCAGACCUGCAUUCGAUACGGGCGAGCUUGAGUAUGGUAGGGGAGUCUGGAAUUCCUGGUGUAGCGGUGGAAUGCGCAGAUAUCAGGAGGAACACCAAUGGCGAAGGCAGGACUCUGGGCCAUUACUGACACUGAGGAGCGAAAGCGUGGGGAGCGAACAGGAUUAGAUACCCUGGUAGUCCACGCCGUAAACGGUGGGCACUAGUUGUGGGGACCUUCCACGGUCUCUGCGACGCNGCUACGCAUAGUGCCCGCCGUCGGGAGGUACGAGUCGCGAGAAGUUAAACUACAAAGUUAAGUUAGUAGACGUUGAGAGNGCGACGACGACGACGACGGAGGAGG